GGACGGGUGAGUAACACGUGGAUAACCUACCUAUAAGACUGGGAUAACUUCGGGAAACCGGAGCUAAUACCGGAUAAUAUUUUGAACCGCAUGGUUCAAAAGUGAAGGACGGUCUUGCUGUCACUUAUAGAUGGAUCCGCGCUGCAUUAGCUAGUUGGUAAGGUAACGGCUUACCAAGGCAACGAUGCAUAGCCGACCUGAGAGGGUGAUCGGCCACACUGGAACUGAGACACGGUCCAG
rnacentral:rRNA from 1 species